AAAAUAUUGAUACAGAUGAAACCGCGUUUCAAGGCUGGUAUUAGAGGCCUUUUACUAAAAUGGUGGAGAAUUAUUGCAGAACAAGGGACUUUGGAAGACCAUGAUGCCACAGCUACUCUUUGAAUAUUUUCAAACCACUGAUUUUCUAUGAAGAAUUAUGUUUCUCUCAUCACUGUGCGUAUGGUCAAAUACGAUUUCUCCAGCUCUGACAUUGUUUCAAGAUCCAUUUAUGGGCUUCCAAUUGGAAUCAGCCACAAAAAGAUACGACCCUUCGAGUAGCUAUAUCAACCUCACCUCGGAAAUGCUGGAUGGAAAACUCAGC